rnacentral:rRNA from 1 species
GUCUAUGGCCAUACCACCGUGAGCCGGAUCUCGUCUGAUCUUGGAAGCUAAGCAGGGUUGGGCCUGGUUAGUACAUGGAUGGGAGACUGCCUGGGAAUACAGGGAGCUGUAGGAN